GCCGAGCUUGGUAACGCCAGCUUAUAACCCGAGUGGGGGCAUCAAAGUGUUGAAACAUUGGCUUUGCGCUAGCCGGUCGGGUUCGGUUUGGCUUAAUACUGUCCCGCCCGUUCCAAGCGGAGAGUUGGGCUAUGUGGUUUGAGCGAAGGCUCUGGGUCUCAUGGUUCUUAGAGUGGAGGGUACUGCGUGAGGCUGGUUUCACAGAGCAGCGACUACCUCCCGCUCCUUGCAGUGGAAGGAUAACGGGUCGGUGCCUCCCGGAUCCACCAUGGCCCGCUAGACCCUGCCAAUCGGACCUACACUUUU
rnacentral:SRP_RNA from 1 species